rnacentral:rRNA from 1 species
CCUACGGGAGGCAGCAGUGGGGGAUAUUGGACAAUGGGGGAAACCCUGAUCCAUCUACUCCUCUUUAUUUAAUAAUUAUUUCUUUAUUUAAAGCUCUAUCAGCAGGGAAGAAAGAAAUGACGGUACCUGAGUAAGAAGCCCCGGCUAACUACGUGCCAGCAGCCGCGGUAAUACGUAGGGGGCAAGCGUUAUCCGGAAUUACUGGGUGUAAAGGGAGCGUAGACGGUAAUGCAAGUCUGGAGUGAAAGGCGGGGGCCCACCCCCCGGACUGCUCUGGAAACUGUGUAACUGGAGUGCAGGAGAGGCAGGCGGAAUUCCUAGUGUAGCGGUGAAAUGCGUAGAUAUUAGGAGGAACACCAGUGGCGAAGGCGGCCUGCUGGACUGUAACUGACGUUGAGGCUCGAAAGCGUGGGGAGCAAACAGGAUUAGAUACCCUUGUAGUC